rnacentral:rRNA from 1 species
GUCCACGCUGUAAACGAUGACGACUAGGUGUGGGGGGGUUCAGUCCCUUCCGUGCCGCAGCUAACGCAUUAAGUCGUCCGCCUGGGGAGUACGGCCGCAAGGUUGAAACUCAAAGGAAUUGACGGGGGCCCGCACAAGCGGUGGAGCAUGUGGUUCAAUUCGAUGCAGAGCGAAGAACCUUACCUGGGCUUGACAUGCAGGAAGUAGGAACCGGAAACGGGGACGACCUGUUAAGUCAGGAACCUGCACAGGUGGUGCAUGGCUGUCGU